rnacentral:lncRNA from 1 species
AUGAAGAAUAUGGGAUUUUUUCAAGGGUUCCUAAAGCUAAAGGAGCCCAGUUUCUCAAGCUUUGACAUAAAGUCUUUCAGAGCCCUGGAUCCCUGUCAAUGUCAUGCUGAAGCUCAAGUCACUGAAGUGAUCCAUCGUGCUGCUGCAGGAGAGUGGUGCAGAGAUGGGACAGACAAGGAGAUGCAGGAGGCACAGGGGAGGAGAGGGACAGACCCUAGGAAAUGGGCAGCACCUGCAGCAAGUACCAGGGGGACACAGUUUGCUUUCUUCCUGCCUGACUUGUAAACUUCCUACUCAGUAAAAGUUGUGAGGUUUAUCCAUCUAACAAAUGAAGCCCAAGGCAUAAAGUCUUUGUUGCAGCCACAGACAAAAAAGUAAGUUUUUAUUAAUAGAGAUGAACCUGGGCCUCUGAUAUCUUGCAGCAGGCCCUGACAAAGUACAUGUAGUCAAAAUCUAAUUUUAAACACAGAGAGUAAAAUUCACAGGCUGCACUUCAUCACAUCCUCUUUGCACUGGCUAGAAUUAUGUUCUGCCAAGGGGACGGUGAGAAAAGCUGUUUACCAUUGUGAUGAUUUAUUCCUACUUAAGGUUGGUUUCUUUGGGAAGUACAAAUAAUUUUUCACAAAGAUGUGUUUUACCUUGAAGUUUGGAAUCCCAAAAGCCUCUUAUUUUUGAAUGUGAUGUUGGACAGGUGUUUUUUCCUUUCAAAAUAAAACUCCUAACAAUUAUGUUUUGGUCA